rnacentral:rRNA from 1 species
UGGGGAAUAUUGGACAAUGGGCGAAAGCCUGAUCCAGCAAUGCCGCGUGAGUGAUGAAGGCCUUCGGGUUGUAAAGCUCUGUCGGGAGGGACGAAAAAGCCGGUUAACACCCGGUAUUGACGGUACCUCCAAAGGAAGCACCGGCUAACUCUGUGCCAGCAGCCGCGGUAAUACAGAGGGUGCAAGCGUUGUUCGGAAUUACUGGGCGUAAAGCGCGUGUAGGUGGCUGUGUAAGUCGGGUGUGAAAUCCCUUGGCUCAACCAAGGAAGUGCACUCGAUACUGCAUAGCUUGAGUACCGGAGGGGAUGGCGGAAUUCCCGGUGUAGAGGUGAAAUUCGUAGAUAUCGGGAGGAACACCUGUGGCGAAGGCGGCCAUCUGGACGGUCACUGACACUGAGACGCGAAAGCGUGGGUAGCAAACAGG